CUCAUGUGGUACCCUUUUUUAUUGGGCCUAAAGCGUCCGUAGCCGGUCUGAUAAGUCUCUGGUGAAAUCCCACAGCUUAACUGUGGGAAUUGCUGGAGAUACUAUCAUGACUCGAGGUCGGGAGAGGCUGGAGGUACUCCCAGGGUAGGGGUGAAAUCCUGUAAUCCUGGGAGGACCACCUGUGGCGAAGGCGUCCAGCUGGAACGAACCUGGCGGUGAGGGACGAAAGCCAGGGGCGCGAACCGGAUUAGAUACCCGGGUAGUCCUGGCCGUAAACGAUGUGGACUUGGUGUUGGGAUGGCUUCGAGCUGCCCCAGUGCCGAAGGGAAGCUGUUAAGUCCACCGCCUGGGAAGUACGGCCGCAAGGCUGAAACUUAAAGGAAUUGGCGGGGGAGCACCACAACGCGUGGAGCCUGUGGUUUAAUUGGAUUCAACGCCGGACAUCUCACCAAAGGCGACAGCUGUAUGAUGCCAGGUUGAUGACCUUGCUUGAC
rnacentral:rRNA from 1 species